GGUCGGGUCCUGUGCAAUCGGAACCCGCGAAUCGAGUCAGGGCCGGAAGGCAGCAGCUCUCAACGGGACUACCGAUGUGCCGCAGGUCGCCUGACCGUC
rnacentral:SRP_RNA from 1 species